rnacentral:lncRNA from 1 species
CCAAACAGUAUGUUACAAAAGGAGUGUGAUAUAGAAACUGAAGAAAAGAUAAAGAAAGAUUGAUCAUAUAAUAAUUAAAUAAUAACACCAACACAUAGGAUUGUAUCCUUCGCCCGACACCGCAAAUAUUACAAUUAGCGCAAAUUUAAGUUUGUUUUUCAUAUUAGUUAUAAGGUUAUGGUUCCUUUAAUAUAUUUGGAGCAUUUAAUAUGUCACCUUACCUGAUUUAGAAUUUAAAUGGUAGAAAAUCAAACAUUAAUUAUCAACCAUAAUGAUAGGCGUUAUUUUUGGUGUUAAUUUAUUAAGAUUCUAUUUUAGCCUUAAUUGUCUAGUGUUAAUUUAGGAUGGAAAAUCGGCAAAUAUCUUGUUUGGUACAUAUUAUGUAACAAAACCAUGAGAUAUGAGGGUAAUUAACAAAC